rnacentral:lncRNA from 1 species
AUUAUUAUGAGAAAUGGAGAGUGGAGGAGGAUGAGUUCACUAACAUAUGAACAAAUUAAGAAAAAUGUAUAAGAUGUUCUCUUUGUUAUUUAACCUCAUCCAUUUGAUCAGAGGAAGUAUAUUCUUAUUGCUGUAUUUAUAUACUGCAUAAAGUUUCAUACAAGUUUAGGUUAAACUCUUUUUGAGCCUGGUUAGUUUCAACUAAUUAUGGCUCGAUCCAAACCCUUGAUAGCAAUUCCUAAUAAUAUAUCGAUCGUGCUAAAUGUUUAGUACUUGAGAUUUCAAGUUUUAAGUUUAGUUGUUUCAUAUUUUUAAAAAAUCGUACGAAAAUUUAAAAACAACGUAGCACAUCCCCUUUUUUUUUUCUAUUAUUAACUUAGUACCACAUGUAAAUAUUAAAUACUGUUAUUAAAUUUGGUGGUUUUCAAAGCCCGGAUUUGACCUGAACAUCUUGAUAUGAAAUUUAAUUCUCAAAUUAAUGAAAAUGUUGGUAUCAUUAUUGUGUGUGCAUGAUCAAAGCAUCAUCUAUCUACAUUUCACAGAGAAAAAAUAUUAAGUGGAUGAAAAUUAAAAAGCUAUCAUAUUCAGCACCAGAGAAGAGUUUGGUUGCUUUUGUAUAUUCCAACAAAAACAACUUGUGUGGUUUACAUUACAUGGCCAAUAACAAAUAUUUGCCAUUAAAAAAAAAAAAAAAAAAAACUAAACAUAUACUAAAAGCCCCUUUGUAGAUUGUGAUUUACAAACCUCUGUUGAUUUCAAAAAUAUACAAAAUAUAUGCAUCUUUGAGCAAAUCAUCACUUAAACUUACAAAUUUUUAAUAUCCAUAAAAUACCUUAACAUUUUUUAAUAUAAUUUUAAAAUUAAAAAUAUACAGAGCUUAUUUAAAUUAUAAAUUAUUUUGAAUUAACUAUAUUCAAAAUUUUAAUUUUACUAUGCAAACUUGACAUUUUUAAGUUCAAAUUUUAAAUACAUUAUUUAUUUUCACUGAUUUAAUUAAAAUAAUUUGAUUAAUAUAAUUCAUAUAAUUUUCAUAAUUAUAAAUUUAUUAAAAUAAUUAAUUAACUUAAACUGUAAAGUGAAAAUAAUGUAGACAGAUUCAAAUCAAACGAAUUGAAAUAUUAAACAACAAAAUUAAAAUUUACAAAAUUAAAUAAUUAAUUCAAAAUAAUUCAUACGGCAAGUAAACUUCACACAUUUUUACCCAUUUACAAAAAUUCUAUUACUACACACCAAAAACUGAAUGCAAUUCAUAGUCCAUCAUAAAAUUUACAAAAACUCAAAUAAUUUUUAAUAUAAAAAUUAAUGACGUAUAUAAAAAAUAAAGACAUUUAAAUGAAGACACUACAACAAAAACGGUCUAUAGCGGCACUUUUAAAUGUAGGUACAUGUCAAAAAAAUGCUGCUAGCUAAAAUUACCGACACUUUUAAAAAGUAUUGCUAUAUGUAAAGUCGCUAGGUAUAUAGUGACAGUUAAAGAGUGUCACUAUAACCUAAAAAAGUGUUACUAAUUUACCAACACUUAUUUAAACAUUUAACAACCGCCGAAACUCUAUCUCGUUGGCUGCGGUGGCGGAGAAGGACGACAGGAAAGACUCUUCGUCUAGCAUUUAAAUGGAUUGAGUGAAGAGAGAAGAAAAAAUGGUAAUUGAUUUUUCUUUUCUUUUUUCUUUUCAGUUUGAAAUCGAGCCAAAUGGACUAGGUGUAGUAGAUUGAGUAAAGUAAUCUUUUAUUUUUUGUUAGAUUGGGCUUUAUAUUUAGACAUUACUCGAUAUUUUUUUAAAUUUUAGCAUAAAUGAAACAUUUUUUUAAAAGUGUCCCAAAUAUGUGUCCCUAUAACCUAAUUCUGUUGUAGUGAGAGGAUAAAAAAUAACAGCUAUAAUUUUCUUUUUGUCUUUUUAUGUAGUUUACAACAAUUACUUCUUGGUUUUGCAUUCUACAAACAACCCAAAAAACCCAAAGUACGAGUUCAUUAAAAAGAUUAGAAAAGAUACACAAAUUACAACUUAUUUCCACAUUCCAUACAAGAUAUAGAAUUAACAUUUAAAAUUACAUUUUAGUAUAUAUUUUCCAAUGUUUUAUCAACAGUGAUAAAAUUAUGAAGGAGCUAGACUCAAACGAUGAGUACAAAUUAAACGAGAUUUUCUAAUAAAUGUUUUAAAAUCGAGAGUAAACUGUACCUUGCAAUAUAUACAAGAAGAUUUUAUACAUAUUUACCCAAAAAUGAUUAACAAAAAGUAGACACAAAAUAGUAAAAAAAAACACUUUAUCUAAAUAAAUGUUGGAGAUAAAUUAAUUGGUUUUCUAACUAUUACAUUGAAGGUGACUAAGAGNGAACAGCUUCUGCAACUUGAAUUUAAUUAUUUAUGCCAAGUUUCUUCUGAAAGGUCACAACUAGUCACAGGUAUAUACCUGCAUUCAUAAAAAUAAUAAACAUAUAUAUAGAAACAAAAUAAGUACAUAUAUAUAUAUAUAUAUAUAUAGAGAGAGAGAGAGAAAGAGAGAGAGAGAGAGAGAGAGAAUUGCAAAAAGAAAUAGAAAAGAACCCAAGAACAGCUUCUGCAAUUUGAAUUUAAUUAUUAUGCCAAGUUCCUUCUGAAAGGUUACAACUAGUCACAAGUAUAUACCUGCACUCAUAAAAAUAAUAAACAUAUAUAUAUAUAAACAAAAUAAGCAUAUAUAUAUAUAUAGAGAGAGAGAGAGAGAGAGAGAAUAACAAAAACAUAAAAAAGAUCCCAAGAACAGCUUCUGCAACUUGAUUUUAACUGUUAUGCCAAGUUCCUUCUCAAAGGACACAACAAGUAGUCACAGUAUAUAUACCUGUGGUCAUAAAAAUACCUAACAUAUAUACAUAUAUAGAAAAAAGUCACUAAUCAAGCACCUGCAUCAAGCUUUGAUCAUUAAAAAUUCAGUAUGUGAGAUAUAAUUUAAUAUGAGAUGCACCAAAACCAUAAGUAGAUUUGAUCUAUGUUGAUCAAAAAACCAAAAAAAAAAAUUAGUUACAGUUAACCUAUGUAAGAUACACAUGCAUGUAUACAAACUUUUUGUAAAGGAAUUGUAAGCCUAGUAAUGGAGACUUACUUUCCACAUGUUGGAACAAAAAAUAAAGCAGGUAUAGAAGUGUCAGUAUAAUGCAAAUCUAAUAAAAGAUCUGCAAAACAAAGAACAAAAAAAAGAGCACUAGAAGGGAAUAGAUUUAACAAGGAAUCUAUGAGUACCACUAUUAGCAGUAGAAACAGUAGGAAUAAAGAGAACAUAAUAUAUAUAUAUAUACCAUGGAACUUAAGAAACAAACCAAAUGAAUAAUUACAUUUUUUUUCCUACAACAGAUAGAGAUGAAAAAAUUUUUAAUGAGAAACAUUAAAAGAGAUUAAGUAAUUAAUUAACAAAUCAAAAAAAGAAGGUUAUAAGAAGAGAUGAGUGUACAAAGCUCCCUCCAUCAAGUAUAUAUAAGUGAUGAGGACUAAUGCAGCUUUUAAACAAGCCAAAGGUGAAUUUUUUUUAUGUAGUUAGGUCAAAGAUGCAUGCUAAUUAAGAGUAUUAAGGUAGAAAUGCUUGUAAAAAAAAAUCUCUAAAUAAUUUCCUACAACAAAUAAAGGAGAAAAUUUUGAUAUGUUAAGCUCAAUAUGCAAAGAAAACUCUCAUUAAAUAUAUUCAUAUGCUUGUGAGAAGAGUUAAAAAAAAAAAAGAGAGAGAGAACUCAUCAAUUGCGAAGUUAACCUAAGAGGAGGUGAGAUAACCAACAAACAAAAUUAAUUUGUAAAUCAAACAUUUCCCUACUCAUAUAGCUCUAAGAUCCAUGCUAAGAAUCUAUAAAAAAAUACAAGUGCUUGUGAGAAAGAGAAAGGAGAUCUUAAAAAGUGAGGUAUAAAGUAGUGGAUGUAGAUGCAGAGCUCCCUUCAAUCCAAAUAGAGAUCAUGUAAGGGCUAAUGCAGCUCCUGUGUCAUGCAAACCACUAAACCUAUCUCAAAUACUCAUAUCCAUCUCUCUCUCUCACUCUCUCUCUUAAUAAACUCUUAAUCUCUCUCUCUCUCCCUCUCUCUCUCUCUCUCCCUCUCUCUCUCUUCUUUUUCUUCUAUGAGAUAGGAGAGUGGGAUCCAUAACUCAGCAGCUAAAUUGCCCCUCAAAAGACCCUUCAUUGGACCCAAGGAAGCUCCACCCCAGAACCCAUAGAACCAAGAUCCUCUAAACCAAAGAAAAAAAAAAGAAUAACAUACAAGAGUAAAAUAAAAGGCACAUAAACCAAAAAACCAGUGAAGUGAAAAAAAAAAAAAAAAAAAAAACCCAGGAAGAAUAUGAGACCAGCAGAUGGUGAUGGGUUCUUCCUUUCAUGGAAGCAAAAUCUCACCCCAAAAACACAACAAACAAAAAAGAAAAAGAGAAAGUUAAGAGAGAGGAAGGAAGCAAAGCCAAAUAAAUAGAUUUACAAACAAAGAAAUUGAGAUGUGGGCUCAUUUAUUUCAUGGAACCAACAUCUCAAAAAAAAAAAAAAAAAAAAAAAAAACACACACACACACACACACACACACACACACACAACAAAAAGAGAGCCUUAACUAAGAUUCAAGCUCUACAAAGCACACAACACAUAUAUUUAGCCUAAGAGAGAAGAAGAAGCAAAACCUAGUGGAAAGAGGAGAGGAGAGGUGGGUCCUUUUAUAGAAGGCUUCGAGAGAGAGAGAGAGAGAGAGAGAUAAUAAGGGGGAGUGGGUGUAUGGGGGGAAGGUUUAUUUACUCCUUUUUACUCCCUCUCCUCCUAUUUACUUCA